rnacentral:rRNA from 1 species
CCUACGGGUGGCAGCAGUAGGGAAUUUUCGUCAAUGGGCGCAAGCCUGAACGAGCGAUGCCGCGUGAGUGAAGACGGCCUUCGGGUCUUAAAGCUCUGUUGCGGGGGAAAAAAGGCAGCAUCAGGAAAUGGGUGCUGACUGAUGGUGCCCCGCCAGAAAGUCACGGCUAACUACGUGCCAGCAGCCGCGGUAAGACGUAGGUGGCGAGCGUUCGCCGGAAUGAUUGGGCGUAAAGGGUGCGCGGGCGGUCCUGCAAGUGGGGAGUGAAAGGCAUGAGCUCAACUCAUGCAUGGCUUUGGAAACUGGAGGACUGGAGAGCAGGAGAGGGCGGGGGAACUCCAUGUGUAGCGGUAAAAUGCGUAGAUAUAUGGAAGAACAACAGUGGCGAAGGCGGCCGCCUGGCCUGUUGCUGACGCUGAGGCACGAAAGCGUGGGGAGCAAAUAGGAUUAGAUACCCUUGUAGUC